CGCCCCCCAGCUAGCCCUCCUACCCAAAAAUAACAAACCACCUUAAUUAACCCCCCAUGUUUUAACUAGGAACAACUAAAGCAUUUUUCCCCCUUAGUAUAUGAGAUAGAAAAGG
rnacentral:rRNA from 1 species